AGACCCGAAACCCGGUGAUCUAGCCAUGGGCAGGUUGAAGGUUGGGUAACACUAACUGGAGGACCGAACCGACUAAUGUUGAAAAAUUAGCGGAUGACCUGUGGCUGGGGGUGAAAGGCCAAUCAAACCGGGAGAUAGCUGGUUCUCCCCGAAAGCUAUUUAGGUAGCGCCUCGUGAAUUCAUCUCCGGGGGUAGAGCACUGUUUCGGCUAGGGGGCCAUCCCGGCUUACCAACCCGAUGCAAACUGCGAAUACCGGAGAAUGUUAUCACGGGAGACACACGGCGGGUGCUAACGUCCGUCGUGAAGAGGGAAACAACCCAGACCGCCAGCUAAGGUCCCAAAGUCAUGGUUAAGUGGGAAACGAUGUGGGAAGGCCCAGACAGCCAGGAUGUUGGCUUAGAAGCAGCCAUCAUUUAAAGAAAGCGUAAUAGCUCACUGGUCGAGUCGGCCUGCGCGGAAGAUGUAACGGGGCUAAACCAUGCACCGAAGCUGCGGCAGCGAACGUAUCACCCAAGACAACUUUACGGAGUUGACGAUUGACGGAGCGAAGCGACGUCAAAGCGUUCAUUAAAGUCGAGUUGGCUUAGGGAUACGUUCGUUGGGUAGGGGAGCGUUCUGUAAGCCUGUGAAGGUGUGUCGUGAGGCAUGCUGGAGGUAUCAGAAGUGCGAAUGCUGACAUAAGUAACGAUAAAGCGGGUGAAAAGCCCGCUCGCCGGAAGACCAAGGGUUCCUGUCCAACGUUAAUCGGGGCAGGGUGAGUCGACCCCUAAGGCGAGGCCGAAAGGCGUAGUCGAUGGGAAACGGGUUAAUAUUCCCGUAC
rnacentral:rRNA from 1 species